AGCCAGACUCCUACGGGAGGCAGCAGUGGGGGAUAUUGCACAAUGGGGGAAACCCUGAUGCAGCGACGCCGCGUGGGCGAAGAAGUAUUUCGGUAUGUAAAGCCCUAUCAGCAGGGAAGAAGAAAUGACGGUACCUGAGUAAGAAGCACCGGCUAAAUACGUGCCAGCAGCCGCGGUAAUACGUAUGGUGCAAGCGUUAUCCGGAUUUACUGGGUGUAAAGGGAGCGUAGACGGCUGUGCAAGCCAGAUGUGAAAGCCCGGGGCUCAACCCCGGGACUGCAUUUGGAACUGUGUGGCUGGAGUGUCGGAGAGGCAGGCGGAAUUCCUAGUGUAGCGGUGAAAUGCGUAGAUAUUAGGAGGAACACCAGUGGCGAAGGCGGCCUGCUGGACGAUGACUGACGUUGAGGCUCGAAAGCGUGGGGAGCAAACAGGAUUAGAUACCCUGGUAC
rnacentral:rRNA from 1 species